rnacentral:rRNA from 1 species
AUUCACUGCUACCGUCGCUGGCAGCUAGAUAUCUGCAACCCUCACAUGGCCACCGACUGAAGCUAAGCAGGGCUAUGCCCGGUCAGUACUUGGAUGGGAAGCCACAUGGGAAAGCUAGAAGUGGUGUUAA